CAGAGCUUCAAAUACAGCCCUCCCAUCACAGUCAGACUCUCACAAAACUUCAAUCAGCUGCUUCUCCUCCUGGAAGAGAACCUGGAUGGGAGGAAGCUGGAAGGUGGGAAAGAAGAGGUGUGGAGUCAGCUGCAUCUGGCCUGGAUUCCAGUUCUGCUGUCUAUUUGCUGUGUGGUCCCAUGCAGGGAUUUGACUUCUCUGGGCUCAGCCUCAUCUCGGCCACCUCACCUCUGAUGGGAUGGCCUCAGUGGAGAGGUUCCUCUGUCACACCCUCCCUCCUGGUGGAUUGAAACCGUGCGCAAACCAACCCUUCUCUCCUUCGGCUGUUUCACCAGCAGAACUCAAGGCACCCGAGAUGAAAGGCAGAGAAACAGCAGAAACAAAAGCUCCGGUCUUGAGCUUUGCCGCCUUCCCAUCCCCCUCACCCCUCACCCCUCACCAGCACUUCCUCGAGUCCUGAAAGUCUGCUUCGGUCUGUCUUCGGAGUCAAGGUGCUGGGGUCUUCCUGUGGUAAUAUCCCCUCCAUGCAGCGUGUUUCCCAACCAGGUCUCCGUGGCGAGAACAUUCCCCCAAGUCCAAGCUUCUGAGUCAUUUCUGUCCCUACAACUGUAGCCGGAGUCCUGGCUACGCUUGGAUUGCGAGGUCUGAUGUACUCCAGACCUAAGCCAGCUGUGCUUAGGGAGAACCAGGGCGCACCGUCCUGCAUCUCAGCGCAUCUUUCCCGUCUGAUCCCAGGGUACAAGGCUGCAAUCUGGGCUGUGCUGCUGCGUUGAGGGUGUGCAGCCUGGGUGCCCAUGGCACAAGUGGGCAUGGCACAGGUCUAUCACUUGUCAUAAUGUUUGGGUCAGGAGAAACAUGCUGGUUGGCUAAAGCAGGAGGUGAUGAGACUGGAAGGAGACAGGACCAGGCCCCAUCACAGCCAUGUUCCUAAGGGUCUCACUGCUGGCACUGAGAUGACAGCAAUACUAGGGCUGGAUCCUCCUCAUCCUGAGAGCUGCUCACUUUCUGUGUGCUCCUGGAGACCAAGCCAGAGGGCAACAUGUGGCUAUCAAACCGUCAUGUCUGCCAACUGUGAGGCAGUGGGCAUGGUGCUGGCAGAGGAAGUCCCCUUUGACCUUAUUCAAAUAAGUACUUUGUGCUAACUGGUUGCUCCCCCAAAGCUCCCUUUCUUAAAGAUGAGACACUAAAGUCACCUAGUACUUGUGAUGAUUAAGUUUAUUUUCAACUUGACAUAACCCACAACCAUCUGGAAUUAAUAAAGGAUUGUCCGCACUUGGUAGGCCUGUGAGUAAAUCUGUGGAAGACUGCCUUUAAUUGAUGUGGGGAGACGCAGUCCACUGUGGGUAGUGCCAUCCCCUAGACUUGCAUCCCAGACUAUAUAAGAGUAAAAUAUCAAGCUGAGCACAAGCAAGUAAGCACGUGUGUAUCCAUUUCUCUCUCUUUCGACUGCCGAUGUGAAGUGACUAAAGUCACCACCUUGACUUCCUGUUAUGAUUAACUGAAGCCUGGAAUUAAGAGCUAAAGCAAAUCCCUUCUAAGUUGCUUUUGAUCGAGAUAUUUUAU
rnacentral:sRNA from 1 species